rnacentral:rRNA from 1 species
UUUACCCGCUGAAAAUUAAGCAUAUCAAUAAGCGGAGGAAAAGAAACUAACCAGGAUGCCCUUAGUAACGGCGAGCGAACCGGGCGAAGCCCAACUUGAAAAUCUCCAGCCUCCGGCUGGCGAAUUGUAGUCUAGAGAAGCGCUCUCUGCCCCAGCCUGGCCCCAAGUCCCCUGGAAAGGGGCGUCAUAGAGGGUGAGAACCCCGUUGGGACCGGCGCCUGGGUCUCCACGAGACGCUUUCGAAGAGUCGGGUUGUUUGGGAAUGCAGCCCAAAGCAGGUGGUAAAUCCCAUCUAAGGCUAAAUACGGACGGGAGACCGAUAGCGAACAAGUACCGCGAGGGAAAGAUGAAAAGAACUUUGAAAAGAGAGUUAAAAAGUACUUGAAAUUGUUGAGAGGGAAGCGAUUGGAUCCCACGGGUGCGCCUAGGCACACGCCCGCCUCACGGUUGGUUGAAUGGGCUAGGCGCUGGUCAGCAUGGGUUGUCCGGGCGGGACAAAACCGGGGGUUGUUACUCCGGUUAUGCCGCCCGGGCGACCGAGGUACGAAGGGCGCUCUCCUGAGUCCUGCUGUGGAACUGCGCUCUCAAGAUGCUGGCGAAGGACGCGGAAGAUU